rfam:Capsicum annuum cultivar Zunla-1 chromosome 5, whole genome shotgun sequence
UGAUGAUGGUGAGGUCAAUUUCUGAGUAUACUUUUAAAUCUCUCGCACAUUUGGUAGAAAUUCUCUCCUUCAUUUUGUGUGAAACCUCGAAUCUCCCUUCUUAAACA